rnacentral:rRNA from 1 species
GAUGAACGCUGGCGGCGUGCCUAAUACAUGCAAGUCGAGCGAACAGAUGAGGAGCUUGCUCCUCUGACGUUAGCGGCGGACGGGUGAGUAACACGUGGAUAACCUACCUAUAAGACUGGGAUAACUUCGGGAAACCGGAGCUAAUACCGGAUAAUAUAUUGAACCGCAUGGUUCAAUAGUGAAAGACGGUUUUGCUGUCACUUAUAGAUGGAUCCGCGCCGCAUUAGCUAGUUGGUAAGGUAACGGCUUACCAAGGCAACGAUGCGUAGCCGACCUGAGAGGGUGAUCGGCCACACUGGAACUGAGACACGGUCCAGACUCCUACGGGAGGCAGCAGUAGGGAAUCUUGCGCAAUGGGCGAAAGCCUGACGGAGCAACGCCGCGUGAGUGAUGAAGGUCUUCGGAUCGUAAAACUCUGUUAUUAGGGAAGAACAAAUGUGUAAGUAACUAUGCACGUCUUGACGGGACCUAAUCAGAAAGCCACGGCUAACUACGU